rnacentral:rRNA from 1 species
GACGAACGCUGGCGGCGUGCUUAACACAUGCAAGUCGAACGAAGCUGUUUGACGGAAGCCUUCGGGCAGAAGACAAGCAGACUGAGUGGCGGACGGGUGAGUAACGCGUGAGCAAUCUACCUUAGAGAGGGGGACAACAGCUGGAAACGGCUGCUAAUACCGCAUGAGACCACAGUGCCGCAUGGUACAGGGGUCAAAGAUUUAUUGCUGAGAGGUGGGCUCGCGUCCGAUUAGAUAGUUGGUGAGGUAACGGCUCACCAAGUCGACGAUCGGUAGCCGACCUGAGAGGGUGAUCGGCCACAUUGGGACUGAGACACGGCCCAAACUCCUACGGGAGGCAGCAGUGGGGAAUAUUGGGCAAUGGGCGAAAGCCUGACCCAGCAACGCCGCGUGAAGGAAGAAGGUCUUCGGAUCGUAAACUUCUGUCCUAAGUGAAGAGAAGAAGACGGUAGCUUAGGAGGAAGCCCCGGCUAACUACGUG